UCUCGCGUCCGUCCUUAAAAAAGGAGGACGCUCCACGAACCGUGCAGGCCUUUUCUAGACGGUGCUGGAAAAACCGAGCUACGAAUCGAAAGCACAAAGGGAAGGCUUCCCCAGUGCUCUCACCAUGCACCACACCCGUAAAACUAUCGGAGCACCCGACGAUAAAAAUGAUUGGCAACACGACGGAGCGAUCAAAAUACCGACGAGGCUUCCAACUACGUACCGCCCCGCAAACACUUGGGUAAGACGAAGGGCGGUACAAGCAACACCAUCGAACAUCGUAUUCCAAACCCGGUCCGUUUUCCACGAAGGCAACAUGAAAACCUAGCGAAAUUCAACGCGUAGGCGUUAAAAAGACGCGGCGCUCGUCAGUUGGCCGCAACAAAGCGGGGAGCCUGAAGUAGCGCACACAUCAACAACCACUCACAUGCCGUCACGGUCACAACCCAGCAAAACCCUCCGCCUUUCCCCCAAACGUAGAAAAA
rnacentral:rRNA from 2 species